GAUGAAUUAGUGGAAAUCUCAGCAUUCAAAUUUUACAUCUUUCUGAUUGUGUUUGUGGUUCAAAUAUUCAUUAUAGCAGCUAUCUGGGUGUGGUUUUGCCUGAAAAAAAUCUUAUCUGAAAAAACAAAUUAAUGUCAAAAACAAAGAGACUCCAACAUCCAUUAUGUUUUCAUGCACAUCUGCUGUCCCUCCAACAGAACCGGUGAUGUGAACUGAAUGAUAAAGUGAUAUCAUAUACAGUGGUAUAAAAUAAUAAUAAAAUAAUAUUGUGUUAAAAUCUUUUGUUCAGUAAAAUUCGUCAUUAGAUUUUCUUUGUAUAGUCUACUGUCAGGAUCCUGUCAGAAUCUUGUUUUGAAUUAUUCUAGUCUUUGUUACAGGGUUCUGGCAGUACCAUGCUUAAUGUGGGAAAUGCGUGGUUUUAGUAUUUGUUUAUUCUGACCACGCUUUUCCCUGGUCUUGUCACUUUUUUACCUGUUCCCUUACUUGUGAU